GUGCUCACUUCGGCAGCCCAUACACUAAAAUUGGAACAAUGCAGAGAUUAGUGUGGCCCUUGCAUGAGGAUGACAGGCAAGUUUGUGAAAUGUUCCAUGUUUUA
ensembl:snRNA U6 U6 spliceosomal RNA